CUACGGGUUGCAGCAGUAAGGAAUAUUGCGCAAUGGAGGCAACUCUGACGCAGCCAUGCCGCGUGCAGGAAGAAGGCCUUAUGGGUCGUAAACUGCUUUUAUUUAGGAAUAAACCCCCGAACGUGUUCGGGGCUGAAGGUACUAAACGAAUAAGCACCGGCUAACUCCGUGCCAGCAGCCGCGGUAAUACGGAGGGUGCAAGCGUUAUCCGGAUUUAUUGGGUUUAAGGGGUGCGCAGGCGGGCUAUUAAGUCAGUGGUGAAAUCCCGGGGCUCAACUCCGGAACUGCCAUUGAUACUGAUAGUCUUGAGUUUGGUUGUAGUGGGCGGAAUGUAGCAUGUAGCGGUGAAAUGCAUAGAUAUGCUACAGAACAUCAAUCGCGAAGGCAGCUCACUAAGCCAAAACUGACGCUCAUGCACGAAAGCGUGGGGAUCAAACAGGAUUAGAUACACCCGUAGUC
rnacentral:rRNA from 1 species